rnacentral:rRNA from 1 species
CCUAGUAAAGUGGCGUACGGGUGAGUAACACGUGGGUGAUCUACCUCUUAGUGAGGAAUAACCCUGGGAAACCGGGGCUAAUACCGCAUAAGCCUUAGCAGGGAAAGUCGAAAGACGCUGAGAGAGGAGCCCGCGGCCGAUUAGCUAGUUGGUGAGGUAAAAGCCCACCAAGGCAGAGAUCGGUAGCCGGCCUGAGAGGGCACACGGCCACACUGGCACUGAAACACGGGCCAG